UAUUGUGUCCAGUAUAUUUAAGUAACAUAUAAUAGGUCAAAAUAGCAGGUGCUCCUUUGUAUAUUAUACAAGUCAACAGUAACAUGAAAUCCCGGCCUGAAGCCUGCAGGAUGGCGCUGCUCUGACACCGUAAGGGUGACUUAAGCCUCUUAGAUCGCAGUUAAAGGCCUACUGUGCUAUAUUUUGACUAAUCUUAGAGAUUUACAAGAAAAUUUCUCAGUUAAACGCAAAAAAUUGCCGACCAUCGCUCUCCAGUUAUUUUAUUCCCCUUCGUUCCUGUUUUGGACCAAGUGGGCGGGGACUCGCGCUCUAGCCUUCGUACUUGUCCGAGCUACUCCGGUAUUGUCCGAUCUCCCGCACAGGCGGUGGGGCUGCUGUUUGUACUUCUUGUCCUUUUUGCAUCUUUACCUUCCAUCUGUGACAGCGCUCCCAUCAUGGUCGACGUACUGGUGUUGAUGUUUUUCGCCAUCAUGGGCCUCGUCUUCCUCUCCUACAUCAUCUACAUGCUGUGAUGAAGAGCCGUGUGGCGCAGCAGGGCAGCCAGUGCACGGGGAGAUGUGUGUCCUGGCUCUCCUGCAUCCCCCAUUUCCAUUAUGGAUACUGAGUAAAGAGCAUCGUCCAGGCUACCAUGCGUUCUUUCAGGUGGGAUGUGAAGAGCCCAGAGGAAAACAAAUGGAGAAGAGGAAGACAACCUCUUUCUCACUCAUCAUCUCCCUCCCUUCUUCAAUCAGGCCAGGAUCCUCAACCAAAUUCUCACUGCAGGAGCCACAAUUUAAUCAUCUGCAGUCAGUCUAACUGGUGUAUUUUCAAUGCUGCUUGUGUUUCUUUUUAGAAGAGCUGUGUUACCUCUGCAAAAGUCCAGUAAAUUCAAUAUUAUGGAUGCAGGAUGUUUUUUAAUUCUUGUGUAAUACAGGUGUAGAAUUUGCCUUUUUUAACAUCACUGUGAGUUUAUAAUUUGAUGUGCAAUGUAAAUUUAAUACAAUUACCAAAAUGAUUCUAUUGGGCCUUUUGCACUCAUGACACUUGAGUUUGACAUGACACUGUUGUCUCACUCCUCACCUCAGUAUUGAAAUUCAGGAAUCCCAACAUGUUCACCCCAAAUACAAUCAGCAUUGUCACCAGAUCAGAGGGUAUUAACGUCUGUGUCAGUAUGUGAAGCAUGUCAUAGCUCCAAACGUCUGCUUUGUUCCUGUUUUUGUUUCACUUAUUUGUCAGCAGAUGACCUACAUGAAGAAAGAUUGUUUAGAAAUUCAUCGCAGCUUUAACACCAAACAUCCUUUAUAUUAUUUAUUAUAUUUAAAUUAUGUUUUGUUUACAAAGGCCCUGACAAUUUGCUGAAUUAUAUUUCACAUAUAUUGAAUAAAGAUGAUUUCAGUAUACCUAGUUAUUGUGGUCAGUUGACUAUUAAAGCAAAAUUGAGAGAU